AGAGUUUGAUCCUGGCUCAGGAUGAACGCUAGCGGCAGGCCUAAUACAUGCAAGUCGGACGGGAUAGGAGAGCUUGCUUUCCUUGAGAGUGGCGCACGGGUGCGUAACACGUAUGUAACCUACCUUUGUCAGGGGGAUAGCCUCUCGAAAGAGAGAUUAAGACCGCAUAACAUUGAGAUGCAGCAUUGCAAUUCAAUCAAAUAUUAAUAGGACAAAGAUGGGCAUGCGGGACAUUAGCUAGUUGGCGGGGUAACGGCCCACCAAGGCGACGAUGUCUAGGGGAUCUGAGAGGAUGACCCCCCACACUGGUACUGAGACACGGACCAGACUCCUACGGGAGGCAGCAGUAAGGAAUAUUGGUCAAUGGACGGAAGUCUGAACCAGCCAUGCCGCGUGCAGGAAGACGGCCCUACGGGUUGUAAACUGCUUUUGCAGGGGAAUAAACCCCGGUACGUGUACCGGGCUGAAUGUACUCUGAGAAUAAGGAUCGGCUAACUCCGUGCCAGCAGCCGCGGUAAUACGGAGGAUCCAAGCGUUAUCCGGAUUUAUUGGGUUUAAAGGGUGCGUAGGCGGCCUAUUAAGUCAGGGGUGAAAGACGGUAGCUCAACUAUCGCAGUGCCUUUGAUACUGAUGGGCUUGAAUACACUAGAGGUAGGCGGAAUGUGACAAGUAGCGGUGAAAUGCAUAGAUAUGUCACAGAACACCAAUUGCGAAGGCAGCUUACUAUGGUGCAAUUGACGCUGAGGCACGAAAGCGUGGGG
rnacentral:rRNA from 1 species